rnacentral:rRNA from 1 species
CCUACGGGUGGCAGCAGUGGGGAAUAUUGCACAAUGGGGGAAACCCUGAUGCAGCGACGCCGCGUGAACGAGGAAGUAUUUCGGUAUGUAAAGCUCUUUCAGCAGGGACGAAAAAAGACGGUACCUGACUAAGAAGCACCGACUAACUACGUGCCAGCAGCAGCGGUAAUCCGUAGGGGGCAAGCGUGAUCCGGAUUUACUGGGGGUAAAGGGAGCGUAGACGGCAAGGCAAGCCAGAAGUGAAAGGGCAGGGCUCAACCCUGUACAUGCUUUUGGAACUGGGGUGCUAGAGUGCAGGAGAGGUAAGUGGAAUUCCAGGUGUAGCGGUGAAAUGCGUAGAGAUUAGGAGGAACACCAGUGGCGAAGGCGGCUUACUGGACUGUAACUGACGUUGAGGCUCGAAAGCGUGGGGAGCAAACAGGAUUAGAUACCCGAGUAGUC